rnacentral:misc_RNA from 1 species
AAUGAGUACAAGAGAAUGUACCAACCUGAUAUUGAGCACUCAAGUGAUGAUAGUUCAUAGAUCUCAAUUGGUAAUACAAGCUCUUCCGCAUGUCUUAUGCCAAAAUUUUUUUUUUGAAGCAUCACUACAAGAAAUAAAAGUUGGAGGCUCUUAGUGGUGUAGAUUCAAAAAGAGAGUUAGAAGUAUAUCUAAGUGAGGCUAUCUAAGAGGACAAGGGAGAUUUUAAUAUCCUUAAAUGGUAGAAGAUUAAUUCUGAGAGAUUUCUUGUCCUAAGAAAAAUGGCAAGA